UCGACGGGGAUUAAUAUUCAUUCUAAUUUCCGAUCCAAGGGAUUAUGGAUCAAAGUCUAGAAUCUUCGAUUUAUCAAGAAGGAAAAAAAACAUGUUUUCUUUAAUAUAACUUUUAGGGAGAAAACAAAACUCUACGAUUGUGAACUUAAGGAGAAAACAAAUUGGAACAGUUUGUGUUUUGUUUUGUGUUUUGUUGGAUUCGUUACUCUCCACCGUCGCCGCCAUGUACAAUUCUCAAACUCUGACUUCUUGGAGGCAAUUCUUCCAAUUUGUUCCAACAUCACAAAACAAAACACAAACUGUUCCAAUUUGUUUUCUCACAAAAUGAGAAGUUGACCUCGCCUUAAUCGAAGAUAUAUGCUGAGAUAUAAACGUUUACUUCAAGCAAGUGCAACCAGUCAUGAGACCCAACUCUAUAAAACCAGUCAGCUUCGGGAUCGUUUUCCUUGAAAAUCCUGAUGAACUAGGCAGUGAUAUACCUAUCUACAGGUCGGCUUCUUUAGAAAGCUGACUCUUGGGGCGAUCUGGGAAAUUGAGCCUGAGUUCGGCUGGUCGGUUUAUG